UACGUAGGGUGCAAGCGUUAAUCGGAAUUACUGGGCGUAAAGCGUGCGCAGGCGGUUGUGCAAGACAGAUGUGAAAUCCCCGGGCUCAACCUGGGAACUGCAUUUGUGACUGCACAGCUUGAGUGCGGCAGAGGGGGGAUGGAAUUCCGCGUGUAGCAGUGAAAUGCGUAGAUAUGCGGAGGAACACCGAUGGCGAAGGCAAUCCCCUGGGCCUGCACUGACGCUCAUGCACGAAAGCGUGGGGAGCAAACAGG
rnacentral:rRNA from 1 species